rnacentral:lncRNA from 1 species
AACACACUGUGCCCUUCUAGCUGUGGUCUGUUAGUGGGGGACAGGACUUAACAUUCAGCUUCUGCAGUUGCUGUAUCCAAUGAAGAGACUUUCCCUGCAUAGAAGUCAUCAGCACAGACUAAUGCAAAAGGGACUAUUUGAGGUUUAAAAAGAUCAAGUCUUUCUCAAGUAAGACCAUGGCAUAAGCAAACCAGCACAC